GAUGAACGCUGGCGGCGUGCCUAAUACAUGCAAGUCGAGCGAACGGACGAGAAGCUUGCUUCUCUGAUGUUAGCGGCGGACGGGUGAGUAACACGUGGAUAACCUACCUAUAAGACUGGGAUAACUUCGGGAAACCGGUGCUAAUACCGGAUAAUAUUUUGAACCGCAUGGUUCAAAAGUGAAAGACGGUCUUGCUGUCACUUAUAGAUGGAUCCGCGCUGCAUUAGCUAGUUGGUAAGGUAACGGCUUACCAAGGCAACGAUGCAUAGCCGACCUGAGAGGGUGAUCGGCCACACUGGAACUGAGACACGGUCCAGACUCCUACGGGAGGCAGCAGUAGGGAAUCUUCCGCAAUGGGCGAAAGCCUGACGGAGCAACGCCGCGUGAGUGAUGAAGGUCUUCGGAUCUUAAAACUCUGUUAUUAGGGAAGAACAUAUGUGUAAGUAACUGUGCACAUCUUGACGGUACCUAAUCAGAAAGCCACGGCUAACUACGUG
rnacentral:rRNA from 1 species